rnacentral:snRNA from 1 species
AGCUUUGCGCAGUGGCAGUAUUGUAACCAAUGAGGUUAAUCCGAGGCGCGAUGAUUGCUAAUUGAAACUGAAGCACAAGAGCUAUGAUCUGGAACACAGCUUGGAAAAGUUACAUUUUUAGAAAACAACUCUCUAGGUUU